ACUCUUUGGGGAAGUAGGUAGCGCCUCAGUCUCGCAAGCUGAAGGUCCUGAGUUGGAUCCUCAGAAGGAGUG
rnacentral:tRNA from 1 species